ensembl:lncRNA
GUGUCACAUAAUAAUUGACAGCAAAAAGUCAAAAACGUAUUUAAAUAUUCUAACAUAAAAGGUUGAGUUCCUCCUGGUCAACAGGAGAGAAGAGCUUUAAACUUGUUUCAGUUUACAGUCUGAAGUUGCUGAAAUGGUAGUAUGAACAUUAUUUCAAAUUUUAUAUAUAAAAUACUCCAGUGGCUUUAAUAGGUGAAUUGUUCAGGUAUAAUAAUGACCCAAGCUGGAUUUCCAUCCAAAUGCAGGGCAAAUUUUUUACCAUAUUUGGAAAAAAAUUUCCAAUAAUAAAGAGCAAAUUAAGGGCUGUUUGUAUCCACCACAGUCUUAAUAGAAGAGUCCUCAGUUUAAUUGUUUAGUCACCAAGUCUGUCUCCAUUUGUCAUUGUCAAAUGUAGUUCUCAUUAUUUUCGUCCAGUUUUUGCUGUUUUUGGUCAGGGUUUUCUACGUGCAAAAAAAAGGUAGAUGGAAAUGCAAAUAUAGAAGAAAUCUAAAAAUCACAAGUAGAAAACGUACAUCAGUAGGAAGAAUUUAAUAGAGGGCUAAAAUGUUUAGUCAGUAGAAGAAAAAUGAACAGCGCAAUCUGAACUGCAAUUUUUUAAACAAAAUAGUUAAAAAGAAAGCCUCAUAUUUGUGUAUAUUUGCUGCUUUAGCUUCUUGUGUAUCAGUGUGAACUAAAUAUUUGGAUGUGAGUGGAGAGAUCUAGUACUUUUGGUCAAUAUCAUCUUCAGCUCAGAUACUUAAUGGUUUACAUGUCUAAACUUAAUUAUGUUUAAUUGAAAAAUUAUCUUUGAGUCACACAAUAAUGAAAAUAAUUUGUAGUGAGUCAUAUCUGCAGCAAACUCUCAGAAUAUGUUGUUUGUUUCUUAGUAAAUAUUCAAAAUGAUAGCUGUUACCACAGUUUUUGACUGCGUUCUGAGGACUUCUCAAGUGAAUACAACGUUCCAUCUGACUUGAGUGCAGGACUUUGGUUACAUGAAAUCAGAUGACCUUCAUAAGGUACUUUAAAUCACGUCCAUGUCCAGCUCCCACAUCAAUGUUGACAGCCUCACCAACCCGUCACUGCCCUGGAAGAAGGACAUGGGAUGCAUGUCAAAGCUCUGGGAAUCAGCAGAUUUGAUACUGAAGCUGGAGAGUGAAUUUCCAUGCUCACUGUAUCCUACUUCAUGCAGGACAAACAGAGAGAAAAGUGAGGAACUCCAAUCACACUGGACGGGCUAAUUCGGCUGUAGAAUAACCAUAAAUUCGUCACAUUUAUGUUAACGAGUAUUGUGGCAUUUGAACUCAGUUUCUAAGGAUUUCAUAGAUUCGACCAGACUGUCUGGCAGCCUGUAGGCCGAACAAACUCACAGCAGGAAAACUGGACGGUGUCCAGCCUCAGAUAAGCUACACAGCUCAGUUACCUCUCAUCACUACGCAAUACAGCUGCAGCACAGCACAGCACCACCUGGGUGCUCUGAUCCACCCACACAGAUCUCUGUCAGUCUACUCAGAUAUUUUUAUAAACUGGCAUGUCUUUAUUGUUUUCUUUGUUAGUUUUUCUCAGACACUUUCUUGCUCUGACAAUGUGUGACAGAAGACAGAAGGUUAUUGUUCAAGGAGGUCUACACAGUGUCAUGACCCAGUCAGCCAUCUGUCGCAGUUAAUGAUGCACUAAAUCUGCUGCUUUAACUCAGUCUCACUUUUAGAGAGUCAAACUAGUUUCCUUUCAUGAAAACAGAACAAGGUAGAAGUCUUCUUUCACUGGUUCAGUGCAACUACUUGUUCACUCCACAGACAUAACAUAGUUAGCCAGGGCUGAUUCAUUAAUGUUGCCUAUCUAUCCUAAGUUGGUAUUAAGGAAACACAGAAAAUCAUCAUUAGGUUGUAUUCUGAUAUAUUUUUUCUGUGUAUAAAUUGUACUUUUACUGAUCCGCUGGUUUCACUUGAUGUCCUUUGCAAAUGGAAGUGUUUGCAAAGUCUGUAGACUCAAAUUUGAGCUGAUGCUUUUUAAGCUUUUUUUGUUGUUUUUUUUUUUUAAAUAGCUGGUAGUCUGAAAUUUCCUGUAGCACAUUCAAACCUUCACUGCUAAACAAGUUAGCAGUUGAUCUUGACCUUUUACCAUCAGUUCUAGCAAUUUUUUUUCAUCAGCAGACUUAAUAGCUAGUAAAAUGCAACAAAUCCUGUAAUGAAACUAGUGCAAGUCACAAGAAGACAAAAAGAACACUUCUGCACUUCAAGACUAGUUUGUGAAAUGUUCGCUCGUGAACAGUUAAUUAGCCCCUCCAACCAGAAGUUAGAACAGUUAGCAUAUGAGAAAGACUGUGUCUGAAAUGAAACCUCUUGAUCACACAUUUUACUCCCUCUAUAACUGACAGUGAACAGUGAGCAGUAAAGGAAGAUUUUGGACAGUCAAAAUCCUAAACCGUAGUUACCACUGUGGGCAGAUUUACACACAGAAUUUCCAAUAAAAUGGUGAGCAGUAGACAGUGUAGUGUGCCGUUAACAGAGUGAUUUUGGACAUGGCUGAGUAUAUACACCGAAUAUAUGUUGAACCAACAGUGGCCUAAUGCUGGUGGACUGAGUGCUGUAGAGGCAGUGCAUCAUUGACUACAGAAGGUUCUGAUCUGAGUUGACAUUGGUCAGAUAGCGACAGGACAAGGAGCCAGACUCUGUCAGACCAGAUGGAUGUAGUGGCCAGGCCACGGAGCUGGAUUAAAAACCAUUUCCAGAGGUCAAAGUUCACCUACAGGAGGGUGGGAGCAGGUUGGAUUACCUGGCAACCAAAGGAAAGGCGGCGGCUACGUUGGCCCUCCCAAAUGCCAAAACAACUUCAGCACUUACCGGCAAGAGAGAGACGGGGUUGGAAACUUUUUUAUAAAAACUGAACAAUGACAGAUCUACACAUAUUAUCAGACGAACAUAUUUAAACUACUAAGAUGUUUUUUCAUAUGACUAAUGUAAACAAGCUAAGAGUUGAAUUCAGAUGUAGGGUAGGUAGGCAGGUAGCACACAGAUCGGCUGUUACUGUUUUUCUAUAGAGCUGUGAAUCGGAUUCUCAGUGGAUGGUAAAUUUUUUUAUGCAAGUCAAGCCAGUGGCUCUGUCCUCACUCCGAGUGGCUUGAAUUUUCCUCACAGAUCCCACUGCAGCCGCUGCCACGCUCACACUUCAGGCUAAACCAGGAUCUAUCAGGUAUACAGACUCUUUUCUUUUGUUCAGUGAAUCAGACGUUUACCUUUCCCAACGUAGCAGAACGGUAACGGCUAAACCUCAGAGCGAUCUGCAUGCCGCAGAAAUACUACUCACCUGUACACAAACACAAGCAGCAGGUAAGAAAUCCUUGUGAGUCACUGCACAGGAUGAUAGAACACACAAACCAGGGCUGGGCAAUAUGGAUCAAAACUCUAAUCAUGACAACCACAAGACCUCUUUCAGCUCUCUGCAGCCACAGAAAAUAUAGGUAUCCAUUGAACUCCUGUCACAGUUUUUGUCAAUUUAUGACUACUGUGGUGAUCUUAACAUGUAAUCUGUAUUUAUUUUCAGAAAUCAAAGCAACUUGUUGUGUGUCAUUACACACAUCUCACAGUGGUUUCAUGUUUCACUUGAAGUUGACUGGUUAAAAUUUAGUGUGUUGAAUAGAAAAAGGACUUUCAGCUGACAUUUGACCAGAAAUUCCAACUGGCAAGGAAUCAAAAAGUCUGAUCACAGUGACUUUUGCAGGAAAUUUUUUAUGAGGUCUGAAUGGUUAUUAGGGUUCUAAAUAAUAAAUUGUCUCUAGCUGUUGGUAGAAUUCAGCCAAAAAAAGAUACAUAACUAUAAAUGAGUUUAACCAUAAUAUGAAACAAAAUAUCUGCUCUAAUAACUCAGGCUAGAAUACAAACUGAGGAAUGACUUUGCCCAAAACAAUUGUAAAUUUUAACUGUUUUCUACACAAGUUACUUUCAGCUCCUCAUGCAUUAGUUUUUGUUCGAGCGACAAGUGGGCAACUUUUAAAAAGGAGAGGAGGUGAGCCUGUUUAUUCAUACACUUUCUUAAAGUUCUUCUCUGGUUGUCAAUUUAUUCCCUAAAAACUCAUAUCUGUGUAUCAGAAUUAAGAGUGAAAAAUAAUCCCUUCCUGCGCUCAAAUGGCAUAGAUGGAACUUGAGAUUGUUGUUUCCUCUAGAAUGUGCAGAUCUAUGACAUCCCUACCUCUGUCCAUGCACCCAUCCCUACUUACUGCAACUCCAGCACACCACUCCAACAUCCUUGUUUGACCUUGAAACCAACUCUGCAGUUCCGUCCUGCAAGUUAACAGGAUUGGUUCCUUCAAUUUCUUACGAAUGAAGCCCUAGGAGUCUGAAUCUGUGUUUUUGAGACUGUCAUCACUGCAGUCUCAAGGUGAAAAUGCUCACCCAUGGCGCUGACUGCUUACUUAAAAUGUUAUUUUCACCGGAGGGAGUCUUUAAAGAAACCUGUUAAUUGUGGCUCAAUCUGUGUUUUUAAAUGCAUGAAGAAACAUUUUACUCCAUGGAUCAAUCAUAGAAAAACCGUCCAAGAAAUCUUUUUGACAAUCUAUAAAAAAUAAAAGUUGGCCAUGUUGCCCAGCUCCAACAUGAACACAAACUGUUUGUUCUGCAAAACCUCCUGGAACAAACAGAUUCAAUUAACUCUCAUCAUUUUUAAUUCUUGGUAUUAAGUAUGUUUUGAAGUAAAGAUAUGUUGCAGUUUCAAAGAUGCCCUUGGCCUUUUCUGUGUUCCAUAUUGUACUGAGUUUUGUUGGCUUUCUGCUCUCUGCACUGAGGUGUUCUGAAGUACUAAGGACUUGGUCUCAGAAUGCAAUACAUCAUUUCAAGCCAGUUAAAGUCCAGAACAAGCUGCUUUCGGACAGCAGGUCCAGUCUGGUUCAGUCUAGUCCUGCUAGCGGAAUCUAAAGAAGGAAAAGUCGCAUCAGUUGUGUUCAUGAACCACUGUGUUUUAAACCUGAUCACAACUUGAAUUUUUAUUGAGAACUCACAUUACACAUUAGCAGGUUUUCUCAAUGUCAACAUUUAAUCAGAAUUUUCUCCUUAAAUUAGAGCUUUUGUAUAUUCAGAUAUGUAUGUUGUCAUGUUGUUUCAGAGAAUGAAUCAGACCUCACCUGUUUAUCUGCCCGAAUGGCUGCUGUUUAUUUCUGCAGAGUAUUAUUCUGUACCACAGUCGCAUUUGUUAAGAUAAGUGAAGACUUUCUGAUUGGUGCAACAUCAUCCAAGUUAUCCACGAUAGGAGAACUAGUGAAACAGAGAAAAAAAAAUCUGCAUUCUGAUGACCACUUUCCCAUUUGAAAUCAGUGUUCACAGCAACAUCCAAGUUGUAAUUAUGACUUUCACUGAGUUCCAUAUCUGAUUUAGAGUUUAAAAGUAUGAAGCAAAACUUGUCAAUUUGUAUUAGCCAAAAUCUUCUGUUGAAGGUAAUUAAACACUAAAAUAUAAUUGAUACAGUGCAGGUAUUUUUCAGCCUCACAUGUUCAGCUCCAACUGGCACUCAGAUUACAUGAACUUAUAUUGGACAUAAUUAGUGUUUCUAGCAAACAGUUUGCCUGAUGGGUAGUCUGAGGCUUUUUAAAGUGGAGUAUCAUUUGUAUCUUUCAAUUUGCCCGAUGACCUGAACACUGACAAGUCAGAAACAUGUACAUCUGGUACAUUCUAGUUAGUGUUGUAAUUACUGUUGUCUAGAUUCAUCAUCACACCUACAGCUACGUGAUUUCAAUAUCGGGCUGUUUACCAUCCAAACAGUAACAAGUUCAUAAAGGCAGCGACUGUGAAAGUUUCAGUAACUCGCAGCUCAAAAUACGAUGUUUUCUCCUCAGUGAUUCCUCAUUUCAGUUCACUUCCACUUUCAUCUUCAAACUGUGAAAACAAGCUGAACCUCAUCAUCAUUGUCUUCAUGCUCUGGUCUUUGAGUCAGUUAAGGCUCUACUUUAUCUCAAAGUCAGUUUGCUUUACAACAAAAUGCCAAGCUUUGGUUUCAUGUUUCUUUGGCUUCAGUCUGAAACUUUUGGCUUUUUUUUGUUUGCUUUUUAUUGUGUGAAUCCAAUGUUUUGCAUAAGAAUAUCCAGUAACCUUGACCACAACAUGCCUAAUUAUAAAUCAAAUCAUUUAGAUAUAUUCACUUAAUGAGAUUACUCUUUACUGUUGAUUCCUCAAAGUAUAUCUUAAUAUAUCGAAGCAGAAAAUGAGUCAAAGAAAAAAAUGGAGUUUAGUAAAUUAACUUUAUUAUUGUACAUUUUUUUUUAACGAGGAGGUACUUAACAAGUUCUGUAGUAGACAAACCUAAAAGGUUUUAUGUUAAGAUCUUUUAUGUUGCAUGUCUCUGUUGCUAAAACCUGUUGGUGGAGGGGGUGGGUGGGGUGAGGCCAAAGGUCCAUUAGUUUAGAAAAUGUGAAGAAGCUCCUUUCACUAUGACCACUAGAUCACUCACAGGUCGCAUCUCCUUCCAAGGAAAUAAAGCACUUUAAGUGUCAAACUGCAGUGACUCGUCUCUUUGUGUACCAGCAUUUAUUACACUGCUUUCAUGGUGACACUACGCAGAAAAAUAAGCUUUCAGUCAUAUGAAAAAAUCCCAAUAUACAGCUCUAUUCCUGACAGUGUAUUGAUGAACGUUAUAACUUGUUAACAGGGCUAUCUACACCCCAGGAAGUAUUUCUGCAGUUACCAGGUGUGUUGACUGAAUAUAGAAGGUGGCCUUAGGCAUUUCAUUACCUCUUGUUUAAUGGACGACCAUUUUGAAUCCUUGACUUUGGCCUUUGACCUUGACCCUAAACAUACUCUAUUAACUCUUUUCCUAUAAACAGGACUGUAAUAUUCCACAUUAAUUCCACACUGUAUUGAACAAGACUUAAAGUUAGCAAUUGAAAUGAGAAACUGAUUUGGAGCAUGAAUGCUAAACUGACAGAUCAAGUGUUGUUUUCAAACAGACUUCUGUAUAAUUGUAAUUGUAGAUGGGUCGCCCCAUAUGAGCCAGAUUCUGCUCAAGGUUUCUUCCUGUUAAAAGGGAGUUUUUUCUUGCCACUGUUGUCUUAGGGCUGCUCUGGGGGUUCAGGCAUAUGGGUUCUAUAAAGCAUCUUGAGAGAACUUGAAUUGUAAUUGGCGCAAUAUAAAUAAAAUUGAAUUGUAACGAAAGCUGUCUGUUUAGCACCCCACGUCUUGACAGUUCAUGUGCUCUACAGAACAAAUACAUACAUCAACCACAGUAUUCUUGCACAGCAGGGUAAGUCUACAGAAUUUUAUUUCAAGCUAACAUUUAGUUUCAAUCAGAUCUUUUAUACAAAAGUUGGAUGUGGUCA